rnacentral:rRNA from 1 species
AUUGAACGCUAGCGGCAUGCUUAACACAUGCAAGUCGAACGGUAACAGGUCUAGCUUGCUAGAUGCUGACGAGUGGCGGACGGGUGAGUAACGCGUAGGAAUCUACCUCAUAGUGGGGAAUAACCUGGGGAAACUCAGGCUAAUACCGCAUAAGCCUUUCGGGGGAAAGCAUGGGACUGUAAAAGGCCAUGCCCUGAGUGAUACGUCUGCGUCGGAUUAGCUAGUUGGUAGGGUAAAGGCCUACCAAGGCGAGGAUCAGUAGUCUGGUCUGAGAGGACGACCAGCCACACUGGGACUGAGACACGGCCCAGACUCCUACGGGAGGCAGCAGUGGGGAAUAUUGGACAAUGGGCGCAAGCCUGAUCCAGCAAUGCCGCGUGUGUGAAGAAGGCCUGCGGGUUGUAAAGCACUUUCAGUGGGGAGGAAGGCCUCGAUGUUAAUAGUAUCGAGGAUUGACGUUACCCAAAUAAGAAGCACCGGCUAACUCUGUGCCAGCCGCCGCUGUAAAAC